CUUGGGUCAGGCCGGGUAUCAGUUGGCAGGUGCCUGUUACCAGCUACCUUCAAGAGUUCCUGACUUCUGAGAAACCCAUUCCUGGAUGCCCAACCCUUCCCAGGCAUUUCAGGUAAGAAGUUGGCUGGUAGAACAGAUUCUUCUUUCAGUUUCUCAGGAAAGACAGCAUGCCUCAGCUGCAUGUAGUACAACAUUUGCUGAUGGACCCUUAAAGAAAAUACACUUCAGCUGUUUUAUUAAAUGAGUAAUCCAAAUACUGGGGGAUAAUAUAUAGUAACAGUAACUGUGAAUGCUCAAUUGGAAAAGAAGCAAAUACUACCUACAAUGCAAUUCUAUGUCCUGAAAUAAAGAUGGCAUAGAAGCAAAAUGUACAUCUGCAUGUGCUUAGCUCUAUCAUACAUGAAGUUUGAAAAGAAAAUGGUCUUCUUGUUGCAAUGUUAAUGGCUCAUGAUUUAAAAAUGUGCACACACACAAAUACAUAUACACAUUUGUGAUACUACCUGCCUCCAAGGAACUUCCCUAUCAUAAUUUCGGAGAAAAUAAGUAUCAGUGUCUACAAAGCUAUCUUACUAACUGAAGAAUGUUGAAAUACUAGUUUUGGUUUUAAAAGGGAUUUACAUGAAUUUAUCAAUUCUUUGUAAUAAAGUUGUCUAAAAAAAUAAUUUAGGAUGGCAAUACUCUAACAAAAACUUGUAUUGAAUUCAAUACAUACUUGAUAAAAUUCUUAUCAACUUUGAAUUUAAAAAUAAUAUACCACUACAAACGUAUCUUCCUGUAUUAUAAGUCUGGUUUCCAUACAGAACAAAAUACAACAGCACACCUGGAAUCUCACAGAUUCAUUCUGUAUAAAUACAAACAACAAUUUUGUCAGUGCUGGCAUAAAAAGCAACUCUGUUUCAAAUAUGCUACUACAUGCAACCAAAGUAUUUGCUCAAACCCUAAUCUCAAAAAGUAUUUCAAUUAUUCUACUAAUAUGUAUUUUUCUUUAGUCAAUAACAAACCAUGAUGCUAAAGUAAAUCCUGAAUGCCCACAGGAGUUAAGGGACUUUUUUUCCCCUCUGGAAAGAAAGAUACAAAACAUCUAACAAGAAUAAAACUAGAUUGAAUGAUACAGAGACUGAUUUUAAAAUAUUUAGGCAUUUAAUUAUAGCUGCCUAAUGAGGUUUAUUUCUAUAAUUUACUACUUCCCAUUGAUUUCUACUUGCUUGGGAAUCCAAAUACAUGUAAGCAUCCCACACCUGUUUUAUAAAGAAUACAAAGCAUGAGGAAUAUAAUAAUGAAAAGGGUUUAUAUAUUUCCUGAAUUACUUAUGAUGUAUAAUAUUUAUAACUGAAUACCCGUAAAACAGCUCUAAUAAAAUGGAAUUCCUUCAUUCUUCCAACUGCCAAAUUAUGCAUAGUACGUAAGAGCAAAACCUGUUCAAAUUAACAUAAAUUUUGCCUCUGAUUUAAUUAGAUAUAUUUUAAAUAUCUGGCCAUGCUUUUAGCUAUAUGUAAGCAUAUCCAUAUCUAGAAGUCUUGUCUAUUGCGUAUCUAACAGGAACUUCAGAGAAAUCUUUUCUGCUUACUGAGCAAUCAAACAGCCAAGAGCACGAUACCUCACUAGAUAAACACCUUUGUUGCACAAGUUCAAAUCGAAGCAACACUGAUACCGGCUUUUAACAGUAAAGGAUUUUAUCUUUCUGUUGUAAAGCAUAUUAGUUUAGUCAGUAUAUCGCUAUGAGUCAAUAUUUCCAACCUCUGACAUUUGAGUCAAUAUAAUAGUAUUUUACAUUUUAUUGUCUCGGAACACUAUUGUUCUUUCCUUUCACAAUUACAACUUCAGUUUUAUAUGUACCAUUUGAGGACUGCUUUUGAUGGAAAACCUUUAACUUGGCUUAUAUGAACUGAAAGUUUAUACUCAGCGGUAUUACCAUUACUACACAACCAACUACAGUUUCCACAAUGGAAACGUCUCCUUACUCUUACUGAAACAUAAUUCUUUUUGUUGUUGUUGCUUAGUUUUUAGUUUCUUGAUGGGGUUUUCUGAAUAUAAUUUCGAAUAAUGCCAAAUAAUGGUAUCUUAAGCUGUAAAGCAUCAAGUCACAAACAAAUUUACAUGCCUUUGCAUCUAACAGAUAAUAGAAGUUUUAAGCAUAUCCAAUGGGCAAUAUUAAUAAUUUUGGUUUGCCCUUUUUUCUUGCUUAAUUAACUUUGUAGCAGUAAAUGAGAUUCACAAUGUUCUACUACCACACAAUUUGUUUAAUAUGGACUUAUUACUUAUUUAAAUAGAAUUAUCUUUCUUAUUCUAAAAUAAAAUGCUGACACCAUCCAAAGGAUUACACUAGUGAGUAAAGGGGAAAAUUCAUAAUCAUAGUUAGGAUGUACUGCAUGUAAUUAGGUUAAUAAUUUGCAGCCCAUAGUGAAUAUUGCCUUGUGACAGCACAAGAUCACUGCAUAGCAAAUGACAGUGGCAGAUAUAAGUGGAUCUUGAGUGCUCGCAGGAAUGGGAGCUUCUCCCAUAAAACUUUCAUGAGUCUUAAGCAGAGGCCCACAAAGGCUACAAUAAAACCUGGUUUCACACAAUUUUUGAGUGGCUUUUUACCUCCUAUCCAGUCUUUAGAAUGCUGCUCCGUUCAACUAAGAGGGACAGUCACCUCAGAAUUCAGGGCAGAACUGCAUCAAUACUGAGUCAACUACAGGACUUUUCUUUAGAGUGGGAGAAAACAAGAUGACAAAGCAAGCCUCCAGGUAGAACCAGAUACCAUAGUGUACUGGUGCUUUAUUGUUACUAUGAUGGUCUAAUUUUAAAAGUGCUGCACAUGAAUUCUUCAUAGUUAGAACUUACAAGUCCAACAACAGGAGAUUUUUCUCCUAUACUCACUAAGAAGUUUUGCCAAACAAGAACACUUUUGAAAACCACAGCCAUGUUCAUUUCAGCAAAAAGUUACCUCCCUACAACCAUAUUUCAACCUUUUCCUCUUUCGGAGUAUUUUCUGAGUAUAGUGGCUAUCCUGACAUUAUUUUACCUAGCUUCUCCAGGGGUACUAUAGCAAGCAUAACGCAGAAAAGCUAUAUACCCUGUCUACUGAAACCAGCCGACUCUCCUGAACAAAGCAGCAGAACUUUUUCUUCCGGUUGUAAAAUUACCAUCCAAUCAAGAUUCUGCUGCAGCUGCCAGGUACGCAUUAAUUUCUGCCUUAGGUGCUCCAAAGGUAACCGCUUGCUCGCCCAUCAGCGGGGCUGGCGAAGUGUUACUUCCUGGAAAGCCAUUGAUCUGGCUGGCGGUACCCAAGCGUAAAGGCCGGAGGGAGGGAAACCUGGAGAGCUUUCUGGCGGGGGCAGGACGUUCCCGGCCCAAUUCCAGAUGCCUUUCUCCCUCCACCUCUACCCCAAACACCUAAGGGAGCCCCUCGGCCCGCUGGGCAGCUCUCGCCUACUGCCCCACGUCUCCUCGUUACCGUUAUCCCGUGUUUUCAAACCUGACAGAAGGGAGAACGGUUAAACCCCUCGAGGCACACUGCGUCCCACCCCUCCCCAACACGUCGCGACGGUCAACUGCUCCCCCUGACAGGACGUGCUCGGCCGCAAGGCCUCCGCGCCGGCGGGGCCCCCCUUACCGUCCCCUCCGCCAACGACUGAGGUACCACUGCCUCGGGACGGGUGAAUCUACCUUCAGAUCCCCUGCGGCGAGAGAGGAGCCGCUAUUUCUUAAGGGCGAGGCGUCUCCUGUGUGCGGGGAUGAAGAGAAGCGUUGCCGGGGGGUGCUCCUGGGGAUCUGAGGUGCUCGCUGGUGCCGUACGGUACGGUUCGGUUCGGAGCGAUACCGACCCGUGCGACUGCCCGUGCUCCCGUUGCCAUAGAGACAAGUCCCGCCCUUCUGCGCGUGUUGAUUGGCCCGGCUAGACCCCCAUCCGGGCGUCGCGGAGAGCUCUGAUUGGAUAGCAGCGGACGCGGAGGCGGGGAUUGCGCCACAAGCCGCACUGCCGCCAGCGCCGACAAGGUACGUGGCGGUCGCCGGGGGGCGGGUCCCGGCCGCGCGGCUGUGGCGUCAUGGCGGAGGUGGGGACGCGGGUGCGCACCUGGGCCGCUCGGGGGGGGCUGGUCCGUCUCCGGACGCACCCCAGCGGGUCUCGGUACGGGUCUCGGUACGGGUCUCGGUACGAGUCUCGGUACGGGUCUGCCCAAGCCUUGCUUCCGUGGUGCGCUAGGCCGCUCUCUAAAGCGAUCCGGUUACCGGCCGUGGGUCCUGAGGGGAGCCGCGGCCUGUGGCUGCCGCGGAGGGCCCUGUCUACAAACGGCCCCCGCCUCACGCACACAGACAUCUCCUCCUUCUUUCAGGCUUCCUUUUCCAGGACUGGUCCUUCUUCUCAUCUGCGCCUUACUGAGCUCAGAUUUGGU